UGGGGAAUCUUGGACAAUGGGGGAAACCCUGAUCCAGCAAUGCCGCGUGUGUGAAGAAGGCCUGCGGGUUGUAAAGCACUUUUAGUAACGAAGAGGACUAUCUUCGGAUAGUCGGACGUUAGUUACAGAAACAGCACCGGCUAACUCUGUGCCAGCAGCCGCGGUAAUACAGAGGGUGCGAGCGUUAAUCGGAAUUACUGGGCGUAAAGAGCGCGUAGGCGGUCGUGUAAGUCAGAUGUGAAAGACCUUGGCUCAACCAGGGAACUGCAUUUGAUACUGCACAACUAGAGUAUGGUAGAGGAAAGUGGAAUUUCCGGUGUAGCGGUGAAAUGCGUAGAUACCGGAAGGAACACCAGUGGCGAAGGCGACUUUCUGGACCAAUACUGACGCUGAGGCGCGAAAGCGUGGGGAGCAAACAGG
rnacentral:rRNA from 1 species